rnacentral:tRNA from 1 species
GCACGGUGGUGCAGUGGGUAGCACUGUUGCCUCACAGAAAGAUGGUCCUGGGUUCGAAUCCAUGUUUGCA